rnacentral:rRNA from 1 species
UGCAGGAUGAAGGCCUUCGGGUUGUAAACUGCUUUUGUACGGAACGAAAAAGCUCCUUCUAAUACAGGGGGCCCAUGACGGUACCGUAAGAAUAAGCACCGGCUAACUACGUGCCAGCAGCCGCGGUAAUACGUAGGGUGCGAGCGUUAAUCGGAAUUACUGGGCGUAAAGCGUGCGCAGGCGGUUAUGUAAGACAGAUGUGAAAUCCCCGGGCUCAACCUGGGAACUGCAUUUGUGACUGCAUGGCUAGAGUACGGUAGAGGGGGAUGGAAUUCCGCGUGUAGCAGUGAAAUGCGUAGAUAUGCGGAGGAACACCGAUGGCGAAGGCAAUCCCCUGGACCUGUACUGACGCUCAUGCACGAAAGCGUGGGGAGCAAACAGGAUUAGAUACCCUGGUAGUCCACGCCCUAAACGA